GUCUAUAGCCAUGCUACCCUGAACAAGCCCAAUCCCGUCUGAUCUCGGAAGCUAAGCAAGGUCAGGCCUGGUUAGUACUUGGAUGGAAGAUCACCUAGGAAGAUCAGGUGCUAUAAAUG
rnacentral:rRNA from 1 species